UAUGUAGGGACCGAGCGUUGUCCGGAAUCAUUGGGCGUAAAGAGCGUGUAGGCGGCCACUUAAGUCCUGCGUGAAAUCUUGCGGCUCAACCGCAAGCGGUCGUGGGAAACUGGGUGGCUAGAGUGCGGGAGAGGAGAGUGGAAUUCCUGGUGUAGCGGUGGAAUGCGUAGAUAUCAAGAGGAACACCCGUAGCGAAGGCGGCGCUCUGGGCCGGUACUGACGCUGAGGAGCGAAAGCGUGGGGAGCAAACAGG
rnacentral:rRNA from 1 species